rnacentral:misc_RNA from 1 species
GACGGAGGGUGCAAGCGUUGUUCGGAAUCAUUGGGCGUAAAGGGCGCGCAGGCGGUCUGGCAAGUCCGACGUGAAAUCCCGGGGCUCAACCCCGGAACUGCGUUGGAAACUGCCGGACUUGAAUUCGGGAGAGGUCCGUGGAAUUCCAGGUGUAGGGGUGAAAUCCGUAGAUAUCUGGAGGAACACCAGCGGCGAAAGCGACGGACUGGACCGACAUUGACGCUGAGGCGCGAAAGCGUGGGGAGCAAACAGG